rnacentral:rRNA from 1 species
GACGAACGCUGGCGGCGUGCUUAACACAUGCAAGUCGAACGGUGGAGGGACCGGUUUUUGCUGGUUCUGGAUGAGUGGCGAACGGGUGAGUAACACGUGAGUAACCUGCCCCCUUCUUCUGGAUAACCGCAUGAAAGUGUGGCUAAUACGGGAUAUUCUGCGCCUGCUGCAUGGUGGGUGUGGGAAAGAUAUUGUUUCGGUGGGGGAUGGGCUCGCGGCCUAUCAGCUUGUUGGUGGGGUGAUGGCCUACCAAGGCGGUGACGGGUAGCCGGCCUGAGAGGGUGGACGGUCACACUGGGACUGAGACACGGCCCAGACUCCUACGGGAGGCAGCAGUGGGGAAUAUUGCACAAUGGGCGCAAGCCUGAUGCAGCGACGCCGCGUGAGGGAUGGAGGCCUUCGGGUUGUAAACCUCUUUCGCCAGUGAAGCAGGCCUGUCCCUUUUGUGGGUGGGUUGACGGUAGCUGGAUAAGAAGCGCCGGCUAACUACGUG